rnacentral:rRNA from 1 species
CGGACGGGUGAGUAACGCGUGGGUAACCUGCCUUACACUGGGGGAUAACACUUAGAAAUAGGUGCUAAUACCGCAUAAGCGCACAGAGCCGCAUGGCUCAGUGUGAAAAACUCCGGUGGUGUAAGAUGGAUCCGCGUCUGAUUAGCUGGUUGGCGGGGUAGAAGCCCACCAAGGCGACGAUCAGUAGCCGGCCUGAGAGGGUGAACGGCCACAUUGGGACUGAGACACGGCCCAAACUCCUACGGAAGGCAGCAG